rnacentral:rRNA from 1 species
UGUCGUGAGAUGUUGGGUUAAGUCCGUAACGAGCGCAACCCUGUCCUUAGUUACCAGCACGUUAUGGUGGGCACUCUAAGGAGACUGCCGGUGACAAACCGGAGGAAGGUGGGGAUGACGUCAAGUCAUCAUGGCCCUUACGGCCUGGGCUACACACGUGCUACAAUGGUCGGUACAAAGGGUUGCCAAGCCGCGAGGUGGAGCUAAUCCCAUAAAACCGAUCGUAGUCCGGAUCGCAGUCUGCAACUCGACUGCGUGAAGUCGGAAUCGCUAGUAAUCGUGAAUCAGAAUGUCACGGUGAAUACGUUCCCGGGCCUU